AGCUAACGUUGGCGGCGUGCCUAACACAUGCAAGUCGAACGCGUUUCGGGGGCAACUCCGGGACGAGUGGCGAAUGGGUGAGUAACACGUGGGUAAUCUUCCUCCGAGUGGGGAAUAAGCUCCCGAAAGGGGGUCUAAUACCGCAUGAAGCCCGGGCUCCUAAGAGUUCCGGGUUAAAGCCGUAAGGUGCUUGGAGAUGAGCCUGCGUCCUAUUAGCUAGUUGGUAGGGUAAUGGCCUACCAAGGCUGAGAUGGGUAGCCGGCCUGAGAGGGGGAACGGCCACACUGGGACUGGGACACGGCCCGGACUCCUGCGGGAGGCAGCAGUGGGGAAUUGUGCGCAAUGGGGGAAACCCUGACGCAGCGACGCCGCGUGGGGGAUGACGGCCUUCGGGUUGUAAACCUCUUUCGUCAUCGACGAAGCCCGGUGUUUCAUCCGGGUGACGGUAGGUGGGGAAGAAGCACCGGCCAACUACGUGCCAGCCGCCGCUGUAAGAC
rnacentral:rRNA from 1 species